GGAGUUUGAUCUUGGCUCAGAUUGAACGCUGGCGGCAUGCCUUACACAUGCAAGUCGAACGGCAGCACGGGAGCUUGCUCCUGGUGGCGAGUGGCGAACGGGUGAGUAAUGCAUCGGAACGUAUCCUGGAGUGGGGGAUAACGUAGCGAAAGUUACGCUAAUACCGCAUAUUCUGUGAGCAGGAAAGCGGGGGACCUUCGGGCCUCGCGCUCUUGGAGCGGCCGAUGUCGGAUUAGCUAGUUGGUGAGGUAAAGGCUCACCAAGGCGACGAUCCGUAGCAGGUCUGAGAGGAUGAUCUGCCACACUGGAACUGAGACACGGUCCAGACUCCUACGGGAGGCAGCAGUGGGGAAUUUUGGACAAUGGGGGCAACCCUGAUCCAGCCAUGCCGCGUGAGUGAAGAAGGCCUCGG
rnacentral:rRNA from 1 species